rnacentral:lncRNA from 1 species
UCACAAUUCCCAUACAAAACAAAAGCUUGGCAGAUGAACAACAUCAUUAUUUCUUCAGGUUUGUUUUAUUAAUAAUCAAAUUGAUUUCAUUUCACACUUUGUUUUAUCAACAAGGGCAUUUAUAUUACUUGGCCAAUUGAUUGUUAGCCAACUUGAUGGAGACUUGUGCAUUUACCUCCAUAUAUCAUCAACUCCUCCUAUGUUUGAUCUCUUCUUGAUAAAUAGGUUGCUCAUCAAAAUUUUCUAAUGGCAAACCAAUGUCAGGAUAUAUAGUUAAUUAUUUAAGAGAAAGUGAAAUGCAAAUUUUAACUAAUCAAAAUAGCUUUCCUUUGUUGUUUAAAGAGUGAUUUUCUUUGUAGUUGAUUUCUUAGUUUAAUUAGUCUUUAUUAAUAUAAUAUAUUUAUUUAAAUAUAUAAUAUAUUUCUUAGUUUAGUGAUUUUCUUUUUAUUAAAACAUUUAUUAAAAUAUAUUGCCCUGUUUAAAUUACCUAGACCUCAAUAAGUUAAAUUUUGAGCUAAUUAAAUUAUAGAAAAUUAUCCAAUAAACUGUCAUGGAAUUUAAAAACUUUAUCAAUGGAAUUAGAAAGUUGUCGCAUAUUCUUUAGGAUAUAUUUAGAAAAAUUAAUAAAUUAAUCUGAUAAAUAAAAGGACAUUUGCAGUUUCUGUAUAAAUGGCUUGGAGCAUUUGCUACAACUUGAAAAAGGAAGCAUGACAAGAUUGUAUCCAAAUUUGCCUAUAACUUCAAAUUCAGUUCAGCUUCAUCAUCAAGAAAAGAAAAUCUCAGUUCAGAUUGUAGUGUUUCAAAUGCAUGCAUGCUUGCGAAGUUCGUUUGGUAAUAUAUAGCACCAAAAGUAUUUUGAAACCAAAUAUGAAACACAUGGAUCCCAUCUCUUUUUCUAACAACAGGCGUGGCAAGCGUGGGCGUACCAAUUCUAACAUUGGUUUUAGAUUAUGCUUGUUUCAAAGCCAUUUUUUAGUGCUUGUUUCCCCUGGCUUUCUUGGGAGAAUAUCAAGAUUAAGUGGUGCUGUAAAUCAGGGCCAUGUUAGGGAUGGCAGGGGACGGAUUUCAAUAGGGUAUUCGAUGUGAUCAUACUCGAUUAAUGUAAUUUUUUAUAAUUAUAAUUGAAACAGAUUGGAGGAAUGCAGUUAAUUGGAUAUUGAACCUCGACAGUAGAUUAUGGAAAUGGUGGAAGACAUUUCAGCAGGUGGAUUCUUUAAAGGAGGUGAUAGGCAGUGUAUUAUUCUGUGAGUGCUGAUUUUUUGGCAAAGGAAGGUGCAAGGAAAGAGAGUUUUUAUUGGGUAGGAAUUCAUGGUGACAAAGUAAUAUGACUUUAUAGAUAUGGAGUGGGACUUAGUCUUUAGAAUUAAGAUAGAGAUGUAAU